rnacentral:rRNA from 1 species
ACCCGCUGAACUUAAGCAUAUCAGUAAGCGGAGGAAAAGAAACUAACUAGGAUUCCCCGAGUAGCGGCGAGCGAAAGGGGAGAAGCCCAGCGCCGAAGCCCGCGUCCACAUGGACGCAGUGCAAUGUGGCGUUUCGGUGGCGGCUCGCCGCGGUCUCCUUCGGCACGCGUACCUCUGAAUGGGUCUGCCCGCAGCGGGUGUCAGGCCUCUACUGCCGAGCGGAGCCGCGACCCGCCGUCAUCGCGGAGUCGGGUUGCUUGAGAGUGCAGCCCAAAGUGGGUGGUAAGCUCCAUCUAAGGCUAAAUACCUAGUGCGAGACCGAUAGCAAACAAGUACCGUGAGGGAAAGUUGCAAAGAACUUUGAAAAGAGAGUUCAAGAGUACGUGAAACCGUUCAGAGGCAAACGGACGGAACUGGGCGAGUUCGCCGUCGUCAUUCAGCCGUCGCCCCCGGGCGGCGGUGCACUUGGCGGCGGCGGAGCGCGACGACCGCCUGCCCGGGUCGUCGGAAGCCCGAGCGGCAAGGUGGCGACGCGUUCGCGCGUCGUGUUACAGGCCGCCGAGGCGUUGGCCGACCUGGCGGGCGAGGAGCGCCUGCGGUGCACUCCCCGCUCUAGCGCGCGGGAGUGGCCCGACGCGGUGGGCUUGCGGACGCCGGCGACGAACUGCUCGCAGUUUGAUGUCGCGCGCUCCGUCUGUCGUGCCGCGCGGCGCCACGAGGCACCCGGGGUCCGGGUCGUGUGGUUCCUGGCACUCCGUCCGACCCGUCUUGAAACACGGACCAAGGAGUUGAGCACGCGCGCGAGUCGAUGGGCUCGCAGAACCCCAGUGGCGCAGCUAAGGCAAAACGGGCGUGAUCCGGCACUGGCGUGUCGGCGCAACGCCGGCCCGCAGCCGACUCGACGCGAGUGGCUGCGGCGCAAGAGCGUGCGUGCUCAGACCCGAAAGGUGGUGAACUAUGCUUGAGCAGGGCGAAGCCAGAGGAAACUCUGGUGGAGGCUCGCAGCGAUCCUGACGUGCAAAUCGGUCGUCAAACUUGAGCAUAGGGGCGAAAGACUAAUCGAACCGCCUAGUAGCUGGUUCCCUCCGAAGUUUCCCUCAGGAUAGCUGGCACUCGGGAUAAAUGGUUUUAUCCGGUAAAGCGAAUGACUAGAGGCAUUGGGGACGAAACGUCCUCAACCUAUUCUCAAACUUUAAAUGGGUAAGAGGCGCGACCCUUCCUGAUCGGGGUCGCGUGCUUGAACAGAGAGUGCCCAGUGGGCCGUUUUUGGUAAGCAGAACUGGCGCUGUGGGAUGAACCAAACGCGCGGUUAGGGUGCCUAACGCACGCUCAUGAGAUACCACAAAAGGUGUUGGUUGAUAUAGACAGCAGGACGGUGGCCAUGGAAGUCGGAAUCCGCUAAGGAGUGUGUAACAACUCACCUGCCGAAUCAACUAGCCCUGAAAAUGGAUGGCGCUGGAGCGUGCGACCCAUACCGCGCCGUCGGGGCAACGCGUGCGAAAUGCCAGGCCCCGACGAGUAGGAGGGCGUGUCGGUGGCGUUGAAGCGUUGUGCGCGAGCACGCGUGGAGCCGCCUUCAGUGCAGAUCUUGGUGGUAGUAGCAAGUAUACAAAUGAGAACUUUGUAGACCGAAGUGGAGAAGGGUUCCAUGUGAACAGCAGUUGGACAUGGGUCAGUCGGCCCUAAGAGAUCGGAGAACUCCGUUCUGAACGGGGAGUGACGCGCGUGACGGCGCGUGCGCGCCGGGCCUCGGCGGCGAUCGUCUGAACACUUCCAUUUUCAUGGAAACAAGAUACUGGUGAGCAACCCGGACGUAACGAACCCGGGCAGUAUUUCAGCACUCACUAUUUACCCCCGGCCGCGCGCCCGCUCUCCGCCCCCGGGCGGAGAGGCAGGGCGCGCGCGCCCUGUGAGUGUAGCGCGACGACCGCCGAGGGCCCCUAGAGCGCGCGCACGCGUGCCCGCACGCAGUGAGCUGGUCGCCCCGAUGCGAUCGAAAGGGAAUCGGGUUAAUAUUCCCGAACCUGGCAGUGGAGAUUGGGCCCUCGGGCCCCAGUGCGGUAACGCAACCGAACUCGGAGACGCCAGCGUCGAUCCCGGGAAGAGUUCUCUUUUCUUUGUUAGGAGCGGACUCCCUGGAAUUGGCUUGUCCAGAGAUAGGGACGUUGCAUCCGUAAAGCGUCGCGCCUCACGCGGCGUCCGGUGCAUCGGCGUUGGCCCUUGAAAAUCCGAGGAAGGCAGUGUAAUUUUCACUCCAGGCCGUACCCGAAUCCGCAGCAGGUCUCCAAGGUGCACAGCCUCUGGUCGAUAGAACAAUGUAGGUAAGGGAAGUCGGCAAAUCCGAUCCGUAACUUCGGGAUAAGGAUUGGCUCUGAGGUGCGGGCUGCUUCGGGUCGCGGCAAGAAGCGGACCGUGCGUUGGCUGGACUGGGCGCGCCUCGGCGCGCUCGGACCGCCGCCAGCGCGCGUCCGUGGGAGGCCGUGGCUUUCGCCGGCGUCGG